ACAGUCCCGGCGGCGGCGCUGGUCGCGGGUCGCACCGUGAGGCUCGCGUGGGCGGCGAUAGGCGCUGGGCCCGGGCCCGGUGAGGAGCGCGCCGCGCGUCCCCUUCUCCUCAGGAGUGGCGGGCCGCGGAAGUGACGUGGUGCACGGGCAGGAGCGCGUUUGAAUCGGUUCCCGGGUGAUCCUCGCGCCUGCCGCUGCUCGGCCGCCGCCGCUGACGAGGAGCUGCAGCGCGCCGGGCCGAGGCCUCGAGCCGCCCCGGGAGCUGGAGCUGAAGGCGCCGCGCGGAGCGCGCACCUCAGCCCUGAGCCCGGCGGCGGCAGGCGUCGCUGUCUUUUCUCCUUUUCCCCAAUAUGGCAGCGGCGGACGGCGGCGGGCCUGGUGGGGCCUCUGUGGGGACUGAGGAGGAUGGCGGAGGCGUCGGCCACAGGACGGUGUACUUGUUUGAUCGGCGCGAAAAGGAGUCCGAGCUCGGGGACCGGCCUCUGCAGGUCGGGGAGCGCUCGGACUACGCGGGAUUUCGCGCGUGUGUGUGUCAGACACUUGGCAUUUCACCUGAAGAAAAAUUUGUUAUUACAACAACAAGUAGGAAAGAAAUUACCUGUGAUAAUUUUGAUGAAACUGUUAAAGAUGGAGUCACCUUAUACCUGCUACAGUCGGUCAAUCAGUUACUACUGACAGCUACGAAAGAACGAAUUGACUUCUUACCUCACUAUGACACACUGGUUAAAAGUGGCAUGUAUGAAUAUUAUGCCAGUGAAGGACAAAAUCCUUUGCCAUUUGCUCUUGCGGAAUUAAUUGACAAUUCAUUGUCUGCUACUUCUCGUAACAUUGGGGUUAGAAGAAUACAGAUCAAAUUGCUUUUUGAUGAAACACAAGGAAAACCUGCUGUUGCAGUGAUAGAUAAUGGAAGAGGAAUGACCUCUAAACAGCUUAACAACUGGGCCGUGUAUAGGUUGUCAAAAUUCACAAGGCAAGGUGACUUUGAAAGUGAUCAUUCAGGAUAUGUUCGUCCAGUACCAGUGCCACGCAGUUUAAAUAGUGAUAUUUCCUAUUUUGGUGUUGGGGGCAAGCAAGCUGUCUUCUUUGUUGGACAAUCAGCCAGAAUGAUAAGCAAACCUGCAGAUUCCCAAGAUGUUCACGAGCUUGUGCUUUCUAAAGAAGAUUUUGAGAAGAAGGAGAAAAAUAAAGAGGCAAUAUAUAGUGGAUAUAUUAGAAACAGAAAGCCCUCUGAUUCUGUUCACAUUACAAAUGAUGAUGAAAGAUUUCUACAUCAUCUUAUCAUAGAGGAGAAGGAAAAAGAUAGCUUUACUGCUGUGGUUAUCACAGGGGUACAACCAGAACACAUACAGUACUUGAAAAAUUAUUUCCACCUUUGGACACGACAGUUAGCGCAUAUUUAUCACUACUAUAUUCAUGGCCCAAAAGGAAAUGAAAUACGAACAUCAAAAGAAGUUGAACCUUUCAACAAUAUUGAUAUUGAAAUUUCUAUGUUUGAAAAAGGGAAGGUACCUAAGAUUGUCAACCUAAGGGAAAUACAAGACGACAUGCAGACGUUGUAUGUAAACACAGCAGCUGAUAGUUUUGAAUUCAAAGCUCAUGUUGAAGGAGAUGGUGUAGUGGAAGGGAUUAUCCGUUAUCAUCCAUUCUUAUAUGAUAGAGAAACUUACCCUGAUGAUCCAUGCUUUCCAUCAAAAUUAAAAGAUGAAGAUGAUGAAGAUGAUUGUUUCAUACUUGAGAAAGCAGCUAGAGGGAAAAGGCCUAUUUUUGAAUGUUUUUGGAAUGGACGAUUAAUACCAUAUACAUCAGUUGAAGACUUUGACUGGUGUACUCCUCCUAAGAAGAGAGGGCUUGCACCAAUUGAAUGCUACAAUAGGAUAUCUGGUGCAUUAUUCACUAAUGACAAAUUCCAGGUCAGCACAAAUAAAUUGACGUUUAUGGAUCUUGAGCUAAAAUUGAAAGAUAAGAACACCCUUUUUACAAGGAUUUUAAAUGGACAGGAACAGCGAAUGAAAAUUGACAGAGAAUUUGCUUUGUGGCUGAAGGACUGUCAUGAGAAGUAUGAUAAACAAAUAAAAUUUACACUUUUUAAGGGAGUAAUUACACGUCCUGAUCUUCCUUCUAAAAAGCAAGGUCCCUGGGCAACAUAUGCAGCAAUAGAAUGGGAUGGAAAGAUAUACAAAGCAGGACAGCUGGUCAAGACAAUCAAGACACUUCCCCUCUUUUAUGGAAGCAUAGUAAGAUUUUUUCUUUAUGGCGAUCAUGAUGGAGAAGUAUAUGCUACAGGAGGAGAGGUUCAAAUUGCAAUGGAACCUCAGGCACUAUAUGAUGAAGUAAGAACUGUGCCAAUUGCAAAGCUGGAUAGGACAGUUGCUGAGAAAGCUGUUAAAAAAUAUGUAGAAGAUGAAAUGGCAAGGCUCCCUGAUAGAUUGUCAGUAACUUGGCCUGAAGGAGAUGAAUUAUUGCCUAAUGAGGUUAGGCCUGCUGGAACCCCUAUUGGUGCGUUAAGAAUUGAAAUACUGAAUAAAAAAGGGGAAGCAAUGCAAAAGCUUCCAGGAACAAGCCAUGGAGGGUCAAAGAAACUCCUGGUUGAGCUCAAAGUUAUUUUACAUUCUUCAAGUGGAAAUAAAGAGAUUAUUUCGCAUAUUAGUCAACAUGGAGGAAAAUGGCCUUACUGGUUUAAAAAAAUGGAAAAUAUUCAGAAGUUGGGGAAUUAUACCUUGAAAUUACAAGUUGUGUUGAAUGAAAGUAAUGCAGACACUUAUGCAGGAAGACCACUACCAUCUAAAGCAAUUAAGUUUUCUGUUAAAGAGGGUAAGCCAGAGAAAUUUUCAUUUGGUCUUCUGGAUCUUCCUUUUCGUGUUGGAGUUCCAUUUAAUAUCCCUCUGGAGUUUCAGGAUGAAUUUGGUCAUACCAGUCAACUAGUAACUGAUAUUCAGCCAGUUCUUGAAGCAAGUGGUUUAUCUUUACAUUAUGAAGAAAUAACCAAAGGACCAAAUUGUGUAAUUCGAGGUGUUACAGCCAAGGGCCCUGUAAACUCUUGUCAAGGCAAGAAUUAUAAUCUGAAGGUUACUCUGCCUGGCUUAAAAGAAGACUCACAGAUUUUGAAAAUUAGAUUACUACCUGGUCACCCUCGUCGACUGAAAGUGAAACCUGAUUCUGAAAUUUUAGUUAUAGAAAAUGGAACAGCUUUCCCAUUUCAGGUGGAAGUUUUAGAUGAAUCAGACAACAUAACAGCACAACCAAAAUUGAUUGUUCAUUGUAAGUUUUCAGGUGCUCCAAACCUUCCAGUCUAUGUUGUAGAUUGCAGUAGUUCUGGAACCAGUAUUUUAACAGGAUCUGCAAUUCAAGUUCAGAAUAUUAAAAAAGACCAGACGCUUAAAGCAAGAAUUGAAAUACCUAGUUGUAAAGAUGUGGCACCUGUGGAGAAGACUAUUAAGUUGCUUCCCAGUAGCCAUGUUGCAAGACUACAAAUAUUCAGUGUAGAAGGACAAAAGGCAAUUCAGAUCAAACAUCAGGAUGAGGUUAAUUGGAUAGCGGGUGAUAUUAUGCAUAAUCUUAUUUUUCAAAUGUAUGAUGAAGGAGAAAGAGAAAUCAAUAUAACAUCAGCUUUAGCAGAAAAAAUUAAAGUUAAUUGGACUCCUGAGAUUAACAAAGAACACUUGCUACAGGGUCUGCUUCCUGAUGUGCAAGUACCAACAUCUGUAAAAGAUAUGCGCUAUUGCCAGGUUUCAUUCCAAGAUGAUCAUGUGUCUUUGGAAAGUGCGUUUACAGUAAGACCACUUCCUGAUGAACCUAAACAUUUAAAAUGUGAAAUGAAAGGAGGAAAAACAGUACAGAUGGGCCAAGAGCUUCAAGGAGAAGUAGUUAUAAUAAUUACAGAUCAGUACGGAAAUCAGAUUCAAGCAUUUUCACCAAGUUCUUUAUCUUCUUUGUCAAUUGCUGGGGUUGGACUUGAUAGCUCAAAUUUGAAAACAACCUUUCAGGAAAACACACAGAGUAUAAGUGUAAGAGGCAUCAAAUUUAUUCCAGGUCCUCCUGGAAAUAAGGAUCUUUGUUUUACUUGGCGUGAGUUUUCUGACUUUAUUCGAGUGCAACUAAUUUCUGGACCUCCUGCUAAACUUCUCCUUAUAGACUGGCCAGAACUAAAGGAGUCCAUUCCAGUGAUUAAUGGAAGAGAUUUACAGAACCCUAUUAUUGUUCAACUUUGUGAUCAGUGGGAUAAUCCAGCACCGGUACAACAUGUUAAAAUAAGUCUUACAAAAGCUAGCAAUUUAAAGCUCAUGCCUUCAAACCAACAGCAUAAAACAGAUGAGAAAGGCAGGGCUAAUUUGGGAGUAUUCAGUGUUUUUGCCCCUAGGGGAGAGCAUACUCUUCAGGUUAAAGCCAUCUAUAACAAAAGUAUCAUAGAAGGACCUAUAAUUAAGUUAAUGAUUCUUCCAGACCCAGAAAAACCCGUUCGUCUCAAUGUUAAAUAUGACAAAGAUGCAUCCUUCUUAGCAGGGGGUCUUUUCACUGAUUUUAUGAUUAGUGUUAUUUCUGAAGAUGACAGUAUCAUUAAAAACAUUAAUCCAGCACGUAUUUCCAUGAAAAUGUGGAAGCUGUCUACCAGUGGGAACCGACCCCCAGCAAAUGCAGAAACAUUUAGUUGUAAUAAAAUAAAAGAUAAUGACAAAGAAGAUGGCUGCUUCUAUUUCAGGGAUAAAGUAAUUCCUAAUAAAGUGGGGACAUAUUGUAUCCAGUUUGGUUUUAUGAUGGAUAAAACAAAUAUUCUCAACAGUGAACAGGUUAUAGUUGAAGUCCUGCCUAAUCAACCUGUGAAGUUAGUACCUAAAAUUAAACCACCUACACCAGCUGUUUCAAAUGUUCGCUCAGUUGCCAGUAGGACCUUGGUCAGAGAUCUACAUCUUAGUAUCACGGAUGACUACGACAACCAUACUGGAAUUGAUUUGGUUGGCACUAUAAUAGCCACCAUUAAAGGCUCUAAUGAGGAAGAUACUGAUACCCCACUUUUUAUUGGGAAAGUUAGAACACUUGAAUUCCCCUUCGUGAAUGGUUCGGCUGAAAUCAUGAGUCUGGUGCUGGCAGAAAGUAGUCCUGGAAGGGAUAGUACUGAAUAUUUUAUUGUAUUUGAGCCCCGGCUACCACUUUUAUCAAGAACCUUAGAACCAUAUAUCCUACCGUUCAUGUUUUACAAUGAUGUUAAGAAGCAGCAACAAAUGGCAGCACUUACAAAAGAAAAGGACCAAUUAUCUCAGUCUAUUGUUAUGUAUAAAAGUUUAUUUGAAGCCAGCCAACAGCUUCUUAAUGAAAUGAAAUGUCAAGUUGAAGAAGCAAGAUUAAAAGAGGCCCAAUUGCGAAAUGAACUAAAAAUACAUAAUAUUGACAUUCCUACAACACAACAGGUGCCACACAUUGAAGCACUUCUGAAAAGAAAGCUAUCAGAACAAGAAGAACUGAAGAAAAAACCUAGAAGAUCGUGUACUCUUCCAAACUAUACUAAAGGCAGUGGAGAUGUUUUGGGAAAGAUUGCACAUCUAGCACAAAUUGAAGAUGAUAGAGCUGCGAUGGUUAUUUCUUGGCAUCUGGCAAGUGACAUGGACUGUGUAGUCACCCUAACCACUGACGCUGCACGUCGUAUCUAUGAUGAAACCCAAGGUCGUCAGCAGGUGUUGCCCCUUGAUUCUAUUUACAAGAAGACUCUUCCAGAUUGGAAAAGAUCUCUACCUCAUUUCCGAAAUGGAAAAUUGUAUUUUAAACCCAUUGGAGAUCCAGUCUUUGCUCGAGACUUGUUAACAUUUCCAGAUAAUGUAGAACAUUGUGAAACAGUAUUUGGUAUGCUGUUAGGAGACACCAUUAUUUUGGAUAAUCUGGAUGCGGCCAAUCAUUAUAGAAAAGAGGUUGUUAAAAUUACACACUGUCCUACACUGCUGACCAGAGAUGGAGAUCGAAUUCGAAGUAAUGGAAAGUUUGGGGGCCUUCAGAAUAAAGCUCCUCCAAUGGAUAAACUUCGGGGAAUGGUAUUUGGAGCUCCAGUUCCAAAACAGUGUCUGAUCUUAGGGGAACAAAUAGAUCUUCUUCAGCAGUAUCGUUCUGCUGUGUGCAAACUAGACAGUGUGAAUAAGGAUCUUAACAGUCAAUUAGAGUACCUUCGCACUCCGGAUAUGAGGAAGAAAAAGCAAGAACUUGAUGAACAUGAGAAAAAUCUCAAACUAAUAGAGGAAAAACUAGGUAUGACUCCCAUACGUAAGUGUAAUGACUCAUUGCGUCAUUCACCAAAGGUUGAGACGACAGAUUGUCCAGUUCCUCCUAAAAGAAUGAGACGAGAAGCUACAAGACAAAAUAGAGAUGGGGUCUUGCUGUGUUGACCAGGCUGGUCUCAAGCUCCUGGGCUUAAGCUACUCUCCUGCCGCGGCCUCCCAAAGUACUGAGAUUACAGGCCUGAGUCACCAUGCUCGGCCCAACAUCCACAUGUUUAAAGCAAAACCUGUGGACCCAUGACGUUGAUUUGCCCUAUCCCAGUUAUAGUUACCAUCAAGUCCCACUCGGAGAAGAGACUUGUUGGAUUAUAACCAAAACAGAUGUAUGAGAGGUGACAGAGAGAAGAGGCCAUUGGUCUCAGUAAGAAUGCCCUGCUUUCUGCAUCUCUGUUUCAGAAGACCAAGAGGGUGACUUACCAGACUGAGUAUUUCUGGGGACAAUACAAGUACCUGGGCAUGAAUUUCCAUUUCGAUUCAGAUGGGACUGGAAACAACCAUUCAAUUUUAUGAAUCUUACUGGACAUUAUGGAUUUACUGGAAUUAUUCCAGACAUUAUGCCCUUUGGUUGUCACUACCUUGCAAAUGUGUAAGAGGAAAAUGUGCUAAUGUGGCAGUGACUGUAAAACUGGCACAUGGCAUUUAUUAAUCCUGAAGAAAAGUACAUGUACUAUUUUUCAGUAUAAAUAUAAUGAACAUGUCAGAACUAUUUCUUGAAAACCUUUUUAUUACUUUUGCGUGAAUUUAUUUAACAAAGAUGUUUUGUCUUUUGUGUAAGGGAGGUUCUAGAGGCUAGAUGUUUAAUUGUAAAUAUGUGAGGAAACUCAAUGCAGAAUUCAGGAUAAAAAUUUUAAAAGCACAGGUAUUUGGGAAUUGAAAUGUUAAGAUACCCAGAACAACAUUAAAUCAAUGAGUGAACUUGUGACAGUGGUAGCAUUUCAAAUUUCAAAAGACUUAUCCUGUGUGUGUGUGUGUGUGUAUAUAUAUAUAUAUAUAUAAAUAUAUAUAUAUAAAAUAUUCAGCAGCACCAAGUUUUAUAACUAUUGUUUGUUUGACUUUAUUAAUACUAGAAUAUGUAGUCUCAGCCUUAAUUUUACAUUUACAUUAUUUUGUAAUUUUUUAUUACUAUUUUUAAGGGGUUAAAGAGAACAUACAUUCUCACAUUAGUGUACUUUCUGGUAGAAAGUUGCUGCAAAAACAUUUGAAAUGUAUAUUAACCUAAUGUAUGUCAUAUAUAUGUCUUUGUGUAAGUUCAAGACUAUUGAUCUGUGAAGUUAUUUUGUAAGGACAUACAUUUGGUAAGUAAGUUUGUGUCCCAGGAAAUGUAUGUGUUUUUAAACCCUUUCUAAAUAUGCAGGCCAUUAAUAAAUAAGAUUGUUUCUUCCCUACUGAAUAGAUAAGUGUUUUUCUUUUUUAAAAUUGGAAGCUUCAUAAAAGUUAUCUUGUUAAAAAACGAUGAUGAUGUUAACCUAUCUAUCUUUAUAAUUGGAAAUUAUUUAAACUGUUUGUUGUUACAGAAGAAACAAAAUGGUAAUUACAGAAUUAGCUGUGGGGAAGAUUGGCUCCCAUGGUACUACAGGUUGAGUAUCCCUUAUUCAAAAUGGUUGGGACCUGAAGUGUUUUGGAUUUUGGUUUUUUGUGGGGUUUUUAAAUUAUUAUUUUGGAAUAUUUGCAUUAUAUUUACCAAUUUAGCAUCCCUAAUCCAAAAAUCUUUCAUUAGAAAUUGGAAAUGCUUCAAUGAGCAUUUCCCUUAUGUGUCAUAUCUGCGCUCAAAUGUUUUGAAUUUUGGAACAUUUCUUGUUUCUGACUUUUAGAUUAGGGAUACUCACCCCGUACCAAUAUUUGGAGUCCUUAGACAUUAGAUUAUAUGAAAAUGAUUGAUUGAUAGGUAAGAAAGGUUAAAGAGAAAUGACUUUUUAGGAACUAGACUUGAACGUAUAAUUAAUAUGUGGAACUAGUUUGCUUUUAUAAUUCAUUGUAUCAAGAAGGAGUCAUGUUUUAAAUCCAAGGCAUUGAGACUAUCUAGAAGCAAAAAAGUUGGUUUUAAAAAUUCUUUUUAUUAGAAGUGUGUUUAAAAACAUGUCUUUUUUUCCCUUGAGCGACAGUGGCCUCACUACAUUGCCCAGGCUAGUCUUGAACUCCUGGGUUCAAGCAGUCUUCCUGCCUUGGCCUCCUAAGUAGCAGGGAUUACAGGCAUGCACCCACAUGCCAAUUUUUAUUGCUUAAAAUGGCGAGUUCUAUGGAUAUUAUCUAGCCCCAAGCCCAUAUCUGUACACUUUUGUUCAUUUUAUAAUACCAGAAAGAAUGUUCUAUCAGUAAAAGAAGGUUUUUAAGUAUGAAUCUCCAUUUUUGUGGAGUUUUUCUACCCUGUAAAAAUUAACUUUGUGGUUCCCAGUAAUUACAGUAAGGAGUUUUUCUAUAUUUUCACAGUUGGAUUUAUCUAAGGAUAUUUCUCAGCAUAUUAAGGAAUCCUUUUCUACAUUUGAGCAAAUACUGAGGUUCAUGUUGUACCAAAUAAUAAUAAAUUGCUUUUGUGUUUAAUAUGUAACACGUAAGAACAAUUGAAAUUUUCUUCUAAGAUUUAAUACUAGUCUUUUAGUAUAAAGGAAUGUAACUGGAGAAAAAAAUUAAUGCUACAGCCAUUUAUCCUGUGUUAUGUGUUAUAUAAUCUGAAAUUUGUCACAAUGUUACAAUCAGGAAGUUUUUUUUCUGGUUUCUUCUUCCAAAGGAAAAUAAUAGCCUACUUGUAUUUUGAAGUAACUGAAAUAAAACUCUCUCCAAGCCUUUUUGCACAUUA